AUUGAACGCUGGCGGCAUGCGUAACACAUGCAAGUCGAACGGUGGGUAGUGCUUGCACUGCCCAUAGUGGCGGACGGGUGAGUAAUGCGUAGGAAUCUGUCUUAGAGAGGGGGAUAACCAGGGGAAACUUUGGCUAAAACCGCAUAGCCUCGAGAGAGGAAAGCAGGGGACUGUAACAGGCCUUGUGCUCUAAGGUGAGCCUACGUCAGAUUAGCUAGUUGGUAGGGUAAAGGCCUACCAAGGCGAUGAUCUGUAGCUGGUCUGAGAGGACGGACAGCCACACUGGGACUGAGACACGGCCCAGACUCCUACGGGAGGCAGCAGUGGGGAAUAUUGGACAAUGGGGGGAACCCUGAUCCAGCGAUGCCGCGUGUGUGAAGAAGGCCUGCGGGUUGUAAAGCACUUUCAGUUGGGAAGAGAAGCGACCUGUGAAUAAUGGGUUGUGGAGACGUUACUAACAGAAGAAGCACCGGCUAACUCUGUGCCAGCCGCCGCCGUAA
rnacentral:rRNA from 1 species